rnacentral:rRNA from 1 species
UUUAUGGAGAGUUUGAUCCUGGCUCAGGAUGAACGCUGGCGGCGUGCCUAAUACAUGCAAGUCGAGCGAACUGACGAGGAGCUUGCUCCUUUGACGUUAGCGGCGGACGGGUGAGUAACACGUGGGUAACCUACCUAUAAGACUGGAAUAACUCCGGGAAACCGGGGCUAAUGCCGGAUAACAUGUUGAACCGCAUGGUUCAACAGUGAAAGACGGUUUUGCUGUCACUUAUAGAUGGACCCGCGCCGUAUUAGCUAGUUGGUAAGGUAACGGCUUACCAAGGCGACGAUACGUAGCCGACCUGAGAGGGUGAUCGGCCACACUGGAACUGAGACACGGUCCAGACUCCUACGGGAGGCAGCAGUAGGGAAUCUUCCGCAAUGGGCGAAAGCCUGACGGAGCAACGCCGCGUGAGUGAUGAAGGUCUUCGGAUCGUAAAGCUCUGUUGUUAGGGAAGAACAUAUGUGUAAGUAACUGUGCACAUCUUGACGGUACCUAACCAGAAAGCCACGGCUAACUACGUGCCAGCAGCCGCGGUAAUACGUAGGUGGCAAGCGUUAUCCGGAAUUAUUGGGCGUAAAGCGCGCGUAGGCGGUUUUUUAAGUCUGAUGUGAAAGCCCACGGCUCAACCGUGGAGGGUCAUUGGAAACUGGAAAACUUGAG